AGGAGCCAGUGAGAUCUCAGAGGAGGGAGAAAAUGGAGGCUGCGAGAAAGCAUGCUGGUGCUGGAUCAGAUAAGUAGCUCUCAGCUACUGCUCCAGAGCCAUGCUGGUCUGCUUGCUGCCAUGCUCCCUGAAGAGGACCUCCUGCACAAGACAAAAGGAAGUUAAGUAGUGAAGAAGACUCUGGGCCAAGACCAGCUGCCUGGAAGAAGCAGAAAGCAGCUGAGCUGCCUGGAAGAGAUUCAGACCAACCGAGUCACUUGGGAAGGACACUCUCCAACCUGUUGAGCUACCUAUAGUCUGUGCAGUGUGCUCCAGGUUCCCAGCUUUGUGAGCUGCUGCCCAUGCUGGAGUGGGAUUUGGUGGUACAGCUGUCUUUGAGUCAUUUCUGUUCCUGUAAGUCAUCCCUCGCCUGUAUUCCU